rnacentral:rRNA from 1 species
GAUAACUACUGGAAACGGUGGCUAAUACCGCAUAACGUCGCAAGACCAAAGAGGGGGACCUUCGGGCCUCUUGCCAUCAGAUGUGCCCAGAUGGGAUUAGCUUGUUGGUGAGGUAACGGCUCACCAAGGCGACGAUCCCUAGCUGGUCUGAGAGGAUGACCAGCCACACUGGAACUGAGACACGGUCCAGACUCCUACGGGAGGCAGCAGUGGGGAAUAUUGCACAAUGGGCGCAAGCCUGAUGCAGCCAUGCCGCGUGUAUGAAGAAGGCCUUCGGGUUGUAAAGUACUUUCAGCGGGGAGGAAGGUGUUGUGGUUAAUAACCGCAGCAAUUGACGUUACCCGCAGAAGAAGCACCGGCUAACUCCGUGCCAGCAGCCGCGGUAAUACGGAGGGUGCAAGCGUUAAUCGGAAUUACUGGGCGUAAAGCGCACGCAGGCGGUCUGUCAAGUCGGAUGUGAAAUCCCCGGGCUCAACCUGGGAACUGCAUUCGAAACUGGCAGGCUUGAGUCUUGUAGAGGGGGGUAGAAUUCCAGGUGUAGCGGUGAAAUGCGUAGAGAUCUGGAGGAAUACCGGUGGCGAAGGCGGCCCCCUGGACAAAGACUGACGCUCAGGUGCGAAAGCGUGGGGAGCAAACAGGAUUAGAUACCCUGGUAGUCCACGCCGUAAACGAUGUCUACUUGGAGGUUGUGCCCUUGAGGCGUGGCUUCCGGAGCUAACGCGUUAAGUAGACCGCCUGGGGAGUACGGCCGCAAGGUUAAAACUCAAAUGAAUUGACGGGGGCCCGCACAAGCGGUGGAGCAUGUGGUUUAAUUCGAUGCAACGCGAAGAACCUUACCUGGUCUUGACAUCCACAGAAGAAUCCAGAGAUGGAUUUGUGCCUUCGGGAACUGUGAGACAGGUGCUGCAUGGCUGUCGUCAGCUCGUGUUGUGAAAUGUUGGGUUAAGUCCCGCAACGAGCGCAAC